rnacentral:rRNA from 1 species
AUUGAACGCUGGCGGCAUGCCUUACACAUGCAAGUCGAACGGCAGCGCGGGGCAACCUGGCGGCGAGUGGCGAACGGGUGAGUAAAUAUCGGAACAUACCCUAGAGUGGGGGAUAACGUAGCGAAAGUUACGCUAAUACCGCAUACGCACUAAGGUGGAAAGUGGGGGAUCUUCGGACCUCAUGCUCAUGGAGUGGCCGAUAUCUGAUUAGCUAGUUGGUGAGGUAAAGGCUCACCAAGGCGACGAUCAGUAGCUGGUUUGAGAGAACGACCAGCCACACUGGAACUGAGACACGGUCCAGACUCCUACAGGAGGCAGCAGUGGGGAAUUUUGGACAAUGGGGGCAACCCUGAUCCAGCAAUGCCGCGUGAGUGAAGAAGGCCUCGGUUGGUUAAA